AUUGAACGCUGGCGGCAGGCUUAACACAUGCAAGUCGAACGAGUGGCGGACGGGUGAGUAAUGCUUGGGAAUCUGGCUUAUGGCGGGGGAUAACGACGGGAAACUGUCGCUAAUACCGCGUACCAUAGGAUGAGCCCAAGUGGGAUUCGGUAGUUGGUGGGGUAAUGGCAUACCAAGCCGACGAUCUCUAGCUGGUCUGAGAGGAUGACCAGCCACCCUGGGACUGAGACACGGCCCAGACUCCUACGGGAGGCAGCAGUGGUGAAUAUUGCGCAAUGGGGGCAACCUGAUGCAGCCAUGCCGCGUGAAUGAAGAAGGCCUUCGGGUUGUAAAGUUCUUUCAGUGAGGAGGCGUUAAUCACAGAAGAAGCACCGGCUAACUCCGUGCCAGCAGCCGCGGUAAUUC
rnacentral:rRNA from 1 species